rnacentral:rRNA from 1 species
UUCCUCCUACGGGGGGCAGCAGUAGGGAAUUUUGCGCAAUGAGCGAAAGCCUGACGCAGCAACCCCGCGUGAAUGUUAAGCCCUUCGGGGUGUAAAGUUCUGUCAAUAGGGACGAAUUUUGACUGUACCUAUAAAGGAAGCACCGGCUCACUCCGUGCCAGCAGCCGCGGUAAUACGGGGGGUGCAAGCGUUGUCCGGAAUCCUUGGGCGUAAAGCGUUCGUAGGCGGCAAGGUAAGUCUGAUGUUAAAGCCCGGGGCUCACCUCCGGUUCGCCAUUGGAUACUCUCUCGCUCGAAUGUGGUAGG